CCUACGGGAGGCAGCAGUGAGGAAUAUUGGUCAAUGGACGAGAGUCUGAACCAGCCAAGUAGCGUGAAGGAUGACUGCCCUAUGGGUUGUAAACUUCUUUUAUAAAGGAAUAAAACGAGGCACGUGUGCCUUUUUGCAUGUACUUUAUGAAUAAGGAUCGGCUAACUCCGUGCCAGCAGCCGCGGUAAUACGGAGGAUCCGAGCGUUUUCCGGAUUUAUUUGGUUUAAAGGGAGCGUAGAUGGGUUGUUAAGUCAGUUGUGAAAGUUUGCGGCUGAACCGUAAAAUUGCAGUUGAUACUGGCAGUCUUGAGUACAGUUGAGGUAGGCGGAAUGCGUGGUGUAGCGGUGAAAUGCUUAGAUAUCACGAAGAACCCCGAUUGCGAAGGCAGCUUACUAAACUGUGACUGACAUUGAUGCUCGAAAGUGUGGGUAUCAAACAGGAUUAGAUACCCUGGUAGUC
rnacentral:rRNA from 1 species